ACUCGAGUAGGGCCCAAGCAAGCCAGGAAGGAGGAGGCAGCCAGAGUGUUCUCUGCAGCAGAAGACCUCUUGCUGCCCUGCUUAACCCAGACCAGCAUUUGCCAGAUGUCAUAAAUGAAUCGAAGAUGACUGACAUAAAAGGCAAAAAGGGAUGAAAAUUGAGAGGAUGAAACUGAACUCUAGGAGUGUAUAAUAUACCAAUAAGCUGGGCUGGUUCCUGCAAGCGUGUAAGUUGUGAAAGGGGUAAUAAAGAAUCAGAGCAUGCCCUCCUCAACCUUUUCAGGGGCUACUGAAAGACCUGUGAGCUCUGAAGAAAAGGCAGAAGAGGCAGUCAGCCAGGAAGCUUAUACCAUUGGCUCCUAUAGACACCUCCACUGGACUGAGAGGAUUGCUGGGGCAGCUUCUUCCACACCUGUCCAGGGACUAUUCAGAGACCUGUGAGGCAUAAGAGCUAUAUAGGCCCAUCAGUUCCAACAGAGACCAGUCCUGGGCUGGGAGACUCUUGCAGCAAUCCAGGGGCUCUUUGAAAUCCUGCCUGCUUUGAGGGGAGGCAAGAAGGGAGAAGCCCACGCCAGUUAUUUUUCUUCAGAUCCUGGAAAGAUUAUCAAUGGCCUGAAACAUUAUUUUUAAAAAUCCUUUGUAAUGGGGUUGUUUUAAUAGUGUAACCCACCUUGGGUGCCUUAGUCAAGGCAGAAAGGCACAACAUACAUGUAAUAAAUAGUGACCCACAAGAAGACUAAGGAAGCAGCAGUGCAACAAAUGGGGUGCCACAGUUUUGUAUCUGUUAUGUAACCACAAGCACAAUACUAGUUUCAAACACAAGCUCCAGACUUAAUACAACUAGCUAUAGGGGUAUGUGAGCCGGCUCGCAUUAAGCCGGGCUCAACAUCGAGCCAGCCCAGCUUGGGCGGUCCAAGUUUGAACUGGGUCACCCCUCAGUUCAAAGAACCGGCUCAUGGGCCAGCUUGGGGGGCUAGGAUUCCUCUUUACAGGUAAAGGAGGGUUUUCUGUAGAAUAAGAAGGGGUGGUGGUGAAAGGGGAAUAUUUACCUUUAGUUUUCUGCAUCAGUGACUGCGGUGGCAGUGGCAUCAGAGGUGAACUAAGAGGUGGCAGUGGGGCUCCUCCAACCUCCCUGCCUGCCUCCCAAAUGACAGGUCAGGCCGGCUGCAGAAAUCUCAAGGUGCUGUGAAGCAUUUAUUGAAGCCACAUGAGGCUUUCUUCAGGGGCAGUGCUAAAAUGACAUUUUAAAAAGCAAUUAAACUACUUCAUUAAAAUUACAUUUGAAACAAGAUAAAAAUGAAACCAGCAGUAACAUCUAUCAUACUCAUGGCAACUUACAUUUAUAGUAUUCCAAUGCAAACUCCAAGUAGUCCUUUGCCUGCUUCCAAGUUUAUAACAUUGCCAACUGGAGAAGCAAAUUUAUACUGUUGGCAAUAAACCCAGCUCUAAUUCAUUAACUCUAAACCAAACUAAACAUAAAAAAAUUAAUAAUUUAAUAAGGCAACAAAAUUACUAUUACAAUUCUUAUAAACCAAAAUAAGUCAAAUGAAGACCCAUAUAGAUUCCAAAUCUUAUGUACUAAAACCCCGCAAAUUUCCCAAAGAAACAUCUCAGUCCUUUAAAUAGUAAGAUGAUCCUAAAAUCCUGGAUCUUUUCUCUUAAUUUCACUAGAUGUCCUCAAAUCCGAUUCCCAAAUGUCCUUCGCAAAUAGGGUAGAAGAUGGAAUGGAAUCACAAAUAAUAAUAAUUUGUAUUUGUGAUUUUGAUUUUAAUAAUAACAUUUUAAUUAUAAUAUUAUAAAAAUUAAUAGAAUAAAAUAAAUAAAUAUUUUUUUAAAUAACAAUUAAUUUUUGAUAACAACAGCAACAACAACUAGCUGGGCUGAGCGGAGCAUCUGCACCUCUAGUUCUUGUCCCAUCAUUCUCAGCCCUCCCUACUCCAAUGUUUUGUUUUCAUUAGCCAGCUGCCUGGCCAACUGCUUUUUUCGGCCGCCAGCCAUCCCCUCCACUGCUUUCUUCCCCCACCAGCACUGCCACUUUCUUCACCCACCAGCCACUGCUUUCUUCACCCCCUGCCACCACCACCAUCACUCCCCCCCCCACUAUCCACAGCAUGGCUUUCUUCACCCCCACUGCCACCUUCUCGCUUCCCCCAGCGCUGCGCUCUUGCCUGUCUGUCUAUUUCUGCCCAUUUGCUUCCCCCACCCCAUCCACAGCAGCUCGUUCACAAACCUUUGCAAGAUCUGCCAUGCAUGGGAAUAGCAUCGGGCAUGUUUAAUAUAUAUUAAUAGGAAUGCAUAUAUAAAAUACCAAACAUCGUAUCACAUCUUUACCAGAUACCAUAAAAUCCAGUUCUCAGAUGAAAUGCAUGUCCUUUGCAAGUGGAAUGCACAGUAUAUGAACCUGUUUCAAGUCUGUUGCUAAAAAGAGUAGGAUGAACAACUGCAAGCAAACAAAGAUACAUAUGGAAGACAAUAUUGGACAUAGACAGUUGAUGUAGUUGGAAUGCCACUGAGGAGGACUUAUUGUCGAAACACGUCUGGCAUUUUAAAUAUUUAUUCUCAUGAAGAUUUUUAAAUGAGAUUACAUUUGGAACUCCAAAUGGAAGUGCCAAAUGGAAUCCAGUUAAUCUGAGAACUGGACUUUACGAUAUCUGAUGGAACUGUGAUUCAACAGUUGGUAUAUUAUAUAUGUAUUCCCAUACAUUGUGUGUGUGUGUGUGUGUGUGAUUCCAUUUUACAAACCACUUGGGAAAAAUAUUUAUUUCAUCUGAGAACUGAAUUUUAUCAUAUUUAGUGGAGAUGUGAUUUGGCACCUUGUGAAGAAUUUCUCUCUUGAAUAUUUAUUCUAAGAUUUUAUCUAAUACCCUCUUUGGGAAGGACAUUUGGGAAUCAGAUUUGAGUACAUCUAGUGAAAUUGAGAGGAAAGAUCCAGGAUUUUAGUGUCAUCUUAUUAUUUAAUGGACUGAGAUGUUUCUUCAGGAAAUUUGGGAUCUUUUAGUAUAAGGGAUUUGGAAUCCAUAUGGGUCUUCAUUUGACUUAUUUUGGUUUAUAAGAAUUUUAAUAGUAAUUUUAUUGCCUAGAUACUAUUCAAUGUUUACAUCAUAGUUUAUAUAUUUAAUGAGUUGUGUUGUGUAUUUUAAUAAUUUUUAGGGUUCUUUGGUAGGGAUGUGCACGGAACCGUGGCGGGGAGGCUUGAAGGUGGCGGGGGUGCAGCUUUAAGACCAAGGGAGGGUGCACUUACCCCUCCCACCGCUUUCUCCCCGCUGGUGUUCAUUUUUUGAAAAGCCUAUGAGGGUGGAAGUCUACCUCCCUGCUGCCCCGUUGCCCCCAUUUUCAGAUAUGACUGGAAGUCCCCUAUGUGCCCGCAAGCAUGUGAGUCCCCUAUGUGCCCGCACGCAUGUGAGGCGUGCGCAAGUGCGUCGGGGACUUCUGGUCAUAUCCAGAAAAUGGAGGCAACGGGAUGGCAGGGAGGUACACUGCUGCCCCAAUGGGCUUUUAAAAAAAUGAAUGCCAGCGAGGAAAAAGCAAUGGGAGUGGUAAGUGCACCCUCCCCCACUCUUAAAGCUCGACACCCCCCACCAUUGAACCGGCAGAACUGCCAGUUCUUUGAACCAGUUUGGAGGCCCACAAAGAGUUUCCCAACCAGCUCAUCCCUAUUGUUUCAUUUGAUUGUUGUCAUUGAGUGUUGUAUUCAUUAACUCUAAAAACAUCAGCUUAGAAGAAAAUCACACCCUUUAUUUAAGUGUAAGCACACAAUCAAACUCCUCAUUUAACCCCUGUGGAGCCAAAAUGUUCAAUUCCAAAAUCCACCAUGCUUAGCAUUCCCAACAGUCCUGUAUUAUAUGGAAAGUCCCAUAUGUGAGGCAAAAAUCUCUUGUCCUGUCCAGGACACUGUUUCCCCCUUUAUUAUUGGCAGACCCUGGGGCUCUUCCUUAUCCCUCAAUGCAUUUGUUUGUUUGUUUGUUUGAUUGAUUGUUUGAUUGAUUUAUAUACUGCCCUUUCAAAAAUGGCCCAGAAAGGGCCAUUUGCAUUGAGCACUUUGAAGUCUGGGUGAACUCCAUAUUAUAAUGUGAAAGAAACAAGAAAGUUCACAAAAGAAUCCCCAAUUGUUCUGCAAACUUGCAGGAGCAACUGAAUGGGUUUAUUUACAUUCUGCAAGUUGCUAACCAUUUACGUAUCUAAUGAAAUAGAUCCACAGACUCCUGCUAACUGACUCACCACUUCUGGCAGAUGAAGUGGUGCACUUCUCACCAGCCUUUCAGUGAGGCUUUCAGUAACAGCCAUGGCAAGAUGGAGUGGGGAUGUAGGGUGUGUGUGUGUGUGUGUGUAAACCUGGGGGAUUGUCUUAAUUUUUCACCUGACACUUGCUCCAUGUCUAAGUGGGAUGGUCUUUGUGAACAAGAAGCUUUGUGGAAUCAUGGAGCUUGUGCUGUUUUGUUGUGGUUUUCACAAAUGCAUUGCCACUCAGAGGUCUGAUUACCCCUGGGAUGACUCCACCCCCAAGACACCCCCCCCCAACGUGUCAGGCAAUGUUGGCAACCCUAACUAUGGUUCUCUUUUGAGUAGAACUUUAUGAUUUCCAUGUAUAAUGUUUUCAAUUGCCCAAAACUGUACAGCCCAAAAGGAAUGUUUUUCCUCUCCAAAAAAUGAGCUACCAAAGGGGCACCCAUUUUUCCACAUUUCACAGUACUCAGAUGUUCAACAAGAUGUUUUUUCAGUGGUCCAGAUGGCUUACCGACAUACAUUAUCUUACAAUGAAAAUGACAAUUGCAUAUAUCACUGUAUAGGAAACCUACAGAUACCAUCACUUACCUGAGGUCUGACAGUUCUUAUUCUAGGUUCUUAAUUCUCAUUCUCAUUCUAAGUUUUCCCUCAGGGAAAACAUACAAUUGGGGCAAUUUUUGGGAAUUAAAUUUUAAUUGCUCCACUGAACAAUUAUUCAUAUGUGAAUCUAGAGUGGCCAAACAACAGUUUUUGGAGAGGUUAUCCUGAGUUGUGGAGAAUAAUUCGAGAAAAGCUACAGGCGUUCCAAAGGAGGAACUUCUGCAGACAACUGAGCUUUUCCAGUUAUAAAUGUUGUAAGUUUGUGAGAAGGCAAAGGACUAUCUGUUAGAGUUCUCUUUGGAAUAUUAUAAAUGUAUGCCAUGAGUAUAAUAGAUGUUACUGGUGGUUUCAUUUUUGUCUUGUUUCAAAUGUAUUUUUAAUGAAGUGGUUUAAUUGCAUUUUCGAAUGUCAUUUUAGUACUGCCUUUAAAGAAAGCAUCAUGUGGCUGAAACGCAUUGGGCUCCAAUAAAUGUUUCACAGCACCUUGAGAUUUUGUCUUUUGUUUUGCUUUUCGGUUGGGUGCUUCCUUUUUUUCUCCAUUUGCUUAAGUGUAGAUAAGCAUGCUGACUUUUGUGUGUUGGUGAGCUCAGUAAGAGCUAUAAGAAAAAUACCACUAGUUAUGUUUACGGAACUGGACAGGUCUGGUGCUGUGCAGAUGGUUUCUUAGAUGUCUCUUGAGGAUAAAAAUCUGGGAGUCCCUUGAAUUCCAUAUGCAGACUGAUUGUUUUUUUUUAAUUGUAGAAAUGUCUUGCAAUACACCCAUUCUCCUUUUGUCUCUUUCUCUCACCAUAUAAUCAAAACAUGCACUGAUAUUAUCUCUCAGAAAUUAUCUUUAAAAAUAUGUUAUUAGUGUGGGGGCAAACCUCAAAUUGGUGUCUAGCCUUCGAGGCCAAAAGCAUUUAUGUUUGCUUCGAGGCCCAGAAUGGAAAGGUCUGGUAUUUUUUUGGUGACUGCUGAAAAAGAGGGAUUUUGCUUCUGGCAGAACAUAAAGCAAAGCUGACAACAAUGCUUUUCUUUCAUGCUAUCCAAAUGAACCCAUUUAUAAUCUGAAAUUCAAAUACUUGACAACAGAGAGUCUGUGAGCUAGGCUUUGAACAGGAAAUUGCUUCAUGGUUUUAGCAUAAUGAAUUAGGCAGUAAGAGUAAAUCCAUUUAGUAGGCAUAGAAUGUUUUAAUAUUCCUUGGAAAAAUUCUGAAUAUCCAAAUUUGUCAUUGCUUACAAAAUCUUGAAUGUUUGGUGCAGUGUGUGUGUGUGCACACACAUGGCACACCAUUGAUUUCCCUUCUACAUAUAGCUGGGUUAUUGCAUUUGCAAAUUGUUGUGCUUAUUUAGAAAUUAUUGUCCCUUUUAAAUGUCAGGGUAAAUAAAUGCCACAAAUAAUGACAA